GCCCUUCGGGGUACACGAGUGGCGAACGGGUGAGUAACACGUGGGUGAUCUGCCCUGUACUUCGGGAUAAGCCUGGGAAACUGGGUCUAAUACCGGAUAUGACCUUCUCCUGCAUGGGGGUUGGUGGAAAGCUUUUGCGGUACAGGAUGGGCCCGCGGCCUAUCAGCUUGUUGGUGGGGUAAUGGCCUACCAAGGCGACGACGGGUAGCCGGCCUGAGAGGGCGACCGGCCACACUGGGACUGAGACACGGCCCAGACUCCUACGGGAGGCAGCAGUGGGGAAUAUUGCACAAUGGGCGCAAGCCUGAUGCAGCGACGCCGCGUGAGGGAUGACGGCCUUCGGGUUGUAAACCUCUUUCAGUAGGGACGAAGCGCAAGUGACGGUACCUACAGAAGAAGCACCGGCCAACUACGUGCCAGCAGCCGCGGUAAUACGUAGGGUGCAAGCGUUGUCCGGAAUUACUGGGCGUAAAGAGCUCGUAGGCGGUUUGUCACGUCGUCUGUGAAAACCCGAGGCUUAACCUCGGGCCUGCAGGCGAUACGGGCAGACUUGAGUACUGUAGGGGAGACUGGAAUUCCUGGUGUAGCGGUGGAAUGCGCAGAUAUCAGGAGGAACACCGGUGGCGAAGGCGGGUCUCUGGGCAGUAACUGACGCUGAGGAGCGAAAGCGUGGGUAGCGAACAGGAUUAGAUACCCUGGUAGUCCACGCCGUAAACGGUGGGUACUAGGUGUGGGUCCCU
rnacentral:rRNA from 1 species